UACGUAGGCAGCAAGCGUUGUUCGGAAUUACUGGGCGUAAAGAGUGUGUAGGCGGUGUUCUAAGUCUGGUGUGAAAUCUCCCGGCUCAACUGGGAGGGUGCGCUAGAAACUGGAAUGCUAGAGGAUGGGAGAGGUAAGCGGAAUUCCUGGUGUAGCGGUGAAAUGCGUAGAUAUCAGGAGGAACACCUGUGGUGUAGACAGCUUACUGGACCAUUUCUGACGCUGAGACGCGAAAGCGUGGGGAGCGAACAGG
rnacentral:rRNA from 1 species